UAAGCAUAUCAAUAAGCGGAGGAAAAGAAACCAACAGGGAUUGCCCUAGUAACGGCGAGUGAAGCGGCAAUAGCUCAAAUUUGAAAUCUGACGUCUUCGGCGUCCGAGUUGUAAUUUGUAGAGGAUGCUUCUGGGCAGCCACCGGUCUAAGUUCCUUGGAACAGGACGUCAUAGAGGGUGAGAAUCCCGUAUGCGACCGGAAAGGCACCCUCCACGUAGCUCCUUCGACGAGUCGAGUUGUUUGGGAAUGCAGCUCUAAAUGGGAGGUAAAUUUCUUCUAAAGCUAAAUACUGGCCAGAGACCGAUAGCGCACAAGUAGAGUGAUCGAAAGAUGAAAAGCACUUUGGAAAGAGAGUUAAAAAGCACGUGAAAUUGUUGAAAGGGAAGCGUUUGCAACCAGACUUGCUCGCGGUGUUCCGCCGGUCUUCUGACCGGUUCAUUCGCCGCGUUGCAGGCCAGCAUCGUCUGGGGCCGCCGGAUAAUACCUUGGUAAUGUAGCUCCCCUCGGGGAGUGUUAUAGACCAUUGUGAUGCGGCGCGUCCCGGGCGAGGUCCGCGCUUCGGCUAGGAUGUUGGCGUAAUGGUUGUAAACGGCCCGUCUUGAAACACGGACCAAGGAGUCUAACGUCUAUGCGAGUGUUCGGGUGUCAAACCCCUACGCGUAAUGAAAGUGAACGGAGGUGGGAACUUUAUUGUGCACCAUCGACCGAUCCUGAUGUCUUCGGAUGGAUUUGAGUAAGAGCAUAGCCGUUGGGACCCGAAAGAUGGUGAACUAUGCCUGAAUAGGGUGAAGCCAGAGGAAACUCUGGUGGAGGCUCGCAGCGGUUCUGACGUGCAAAUCGAUCGUCAAAUUUGGGUAUAGGGGCGAAAGACUAAUCGAACC
rnacentral:rRNA from 1 species